rnacentral:rRNA from 1 species
AAUAGAUACCCAGGUAGUCCACGCCGUAAACGAUGAGUGCUAAGUGUUAGGGGGUUUCCGCCCCUUAGUGCUGCAGCUAACGCAUUAAGCACUCCGCCUGGGGAGUACGGUCGCAAGACUGAAACUCAAAGGAAUUGACGGGGGCCCGCACAAGCGGUGGAGCAUGUGGUUUAAUUCGAAGCAACGCGAAGAACCUUACCAGGUCUUGACAUCCCAUUGACCACUAUGGAGACAUAGUUUUCCCUUCGGGGACAACGGUGACAGGUGGUGCAUGGUUGUCGUCAGCUCGUGUCGUGAGAUGUUGGGUUAAGUCCCGCAACGAGCGCAACCCUUGUUCUUAGUUGCCAUCAUUUAGUUGGGCACUCUAAGGAGGCUGCCGGUGACAAACCGGAGGAAGGUGGGGAUGACGUCAAAUCAUCAUGCCCCUUAUGACCUGGGCUACACACGUGCUACAAUGGACGGUACAAACGGUUGCCAACCCGCGAGGGGAGCUAAUCCGAUAAAACCGUUCUCAGUUCGGAUUGUAGGCUGCAACUCGCCUACA